UUCAGAAGGAGGGGUGGGGACCCACAGAGACAAAAGAUUCCUGCCUUGUGCAAAAGCUAUAAAAUUGGUUGGAGCAGGACAAAAAGGGGCAGCCAGUCAUGAGAAAACCCCCGCUUACCACCUGAGAUGUCUGCUGGAACUAACAAGGACUAUACCAGGGAAAGGACUGGGCCCACACUAGGGAGGAGUCUAGUCUGUGAAAGAAGCUUAUUGGAACAUCUCUGAGGAUGAGAUAUUACCUGUAAUCAAGGAAAAGGAGUACUUGUGGCACCUUAGAGACUAACAAAUUUAUU